UAUUAUCCAAAGCAAAGAAUUGUCGAAUUGAAUGUUAGAUUAUUAUGAAAAUUUGCACAUAUUCACCCGGCAUAUUCACCUAAUAUUCCUACCUUUUCACAUAGUUAUGCUGAUUAAUUCAUAAACUGUUAAAAAUUACUGUGGGAACUCACCAAAUUUUUGCUGCCUCACAGCCUGACUACAAUCUGAAAAAAUUGGGUCAUCGGCAUACUCGAAUCUAAAGAUUUAUGUCCACUUAACCAGAAUUCAGAAACACGUUACAAGCUACAAUGUACAUUGCACUUUGAUAAAUAAAACUGUUUGUUAUACAAUUCCUGUAUUUUAUAUGGUAAACUUCUUGGGAAUAAUCAGAAUUAUUAUAAACUCCCAUUUUAUAGGAGUUUUUUUUAUCUGUAUACUAAAUUGAUGAUCCAAAAUAAAAUCCUGAACCCAUGACCUGGUGUUUUGUUCGUCUUUGUGAAUAGAAACCUGCUACAUGUUGAUGAUGGAAAGACAGGAGUGGUUCGUCCUUUUGGCUUUAUCAGCAGCUUUCGAUACUAUUGACCACGGCAACCUACUGGAUCGACUGUCGUCAAUAGACUAACUGGUUACAUUCUAAAAUGGUUUUCAUUCUAUCUCACCUGACGAUUUCAGUAUGUUGAAGACAGCAACUAUUAUGUGAUGUUCCUCAAUGAUCCGUUUUGGGCCCGAUAAUCUUCACAAUGUAUACAAAGAUGUUAGGUAAACUUAUUCAUGGUCAUAAACUGCUGUAUCAUUUAUAUGGUGAUGAUUCUCAACUCCUUGACAGCUUCAAGCCACUUCCGAUCGAUCAAAUUGUCCUCUGGAAGGGUGUCUCGAUAAUGUCAAAAUGCUUAAACUCAACGAUGAAAAAACAGAGUUUCUUCCCAUGGGUCCUGCUAACAGACUUAAGAAAUGUGACAUUCGAUCGAUCAACAUUGGAAACACCGAAAUUCCUGUGUCUAGAACUGUAAAACAUCUUGGAAUCUGCAACCUUAGUCUGAUCCUUCGUCCUCUAUAGAAUCAACUACUGUAAUUUAUUACUAACUGGUAUUACGAACGAACAGAUUUCAAAACUCCAAAGAUUACAAAACCGCGCUGCUUACAUUGUCACAAAAACUAAAUCAAGAUCACACAUCACCCCAGUCUUGAACAAAUUACAUUGGCUCCGUGUUCGAGAAAGGAUGAACUUUAAAAUCUUAUCGUUAACCUAUCGAUCGAUAAACAAAUCUGCACCAGGUUAUCUUCAAAAUCUAGUAUCAUUGUAUGAACCUAAACGAUCAUUAAGAUCAGUUUCUUCCCAUUGGUCCUGCUAACAGACUUAAGAAAUGUGACAUUUGAUCGAUCAACAUUGGAAACACUGAAAUUUCUGUGUCUAGAACUGUAAAACAUCUUGGAAUUCUUGUCGAUUCUCGUCUUAGUUUUGAAAACCAUGUGAACAUUACCAUCUUCGAAGGAUAGGGUUCAUUCGUCAUCUAUUAACAGAAGACGCUGCUGCAACCUUAGUCUGAUCCUUUGUCCUCUCUAGAAUCAACUACUGUAAUUCAUUACUAACUGGUAUUACGAACGAACAGAUUUCAAAACUCCAAAGAUUACAAAACUGCGCUGCUUACAUUGUCACAAAAACUAAAUCAAGAUCACACAUCACCCCAGUCUUGAACAAAUUACAUUGGCUCCAUGUUCGAGAAAGGAUGAACUUUAAAAUCUUAUCGUUAACCUAUCGAUCGAUAAAAAAAUCCGCGCCAGGUUAUCUUCAAAAUCUAGUAUCAUUGUAUGAACCUAAACGAUCAUUAAGAUCAGAAGGGAAACUAUUAUUGGAUGUACCUUUCCGUAAUUUGAAAUCAUUUGGAUCCAAAACUUUUUGAUUCAGCGCAUCAAUUGUGUGGAAUACACUUCCAGAAAAUAUCUGACAAUGCAUUCCCUAGUAGAUUGAAUAGUUGCACGAUACAAAAAUCAUCAUUAUUAUUAUUAUUAUGUUUUGGUUCCUAUUGUAAAGCCGUGUCUUACAGUUAGUAACGGAUACACGAGGUGACUUAUAAAUAUAUACAUGCCGUGUUUAACAGUAACAGAUAAACAUGGUGUCUUACAGUAA